rnacentral:rRNA from 1 species
UGGGUAACCUGCCUCAAAGAGGGGAAUAGCCUCCCGAAAGGGAGAUUAAUACCGCAUAAUAUGUUUUAAUCGCAUGAUUUUAACAUCAAAGGAUUUUCUUUUAGAAAUUCCACUUUGAGAUGGACCCGCGGCACAUUAGCUAGUUGGUGAGGUAACGGCUCACCAAGGCAACGAUGCGUAGCCGACCUGAGAGGGUGAUCGGCCACAUUGGAACUGAGACACGGCCCAGACUCCGUAGGGAGG